AAUGAACGCUGGCGGCAUGCCUAACACAUGCAAGUCGAACGAAGGCUUCGGCCUUAGUGGCGCACGGGUGCGUAACGCGUGGGAAUCUGCCCUUGGGUUCGGAAUAACAGUUAGAAAUGACUGCUAAUACCGGACGAUGUCGUAAGACCAAAGAUUUAUCGCCCAAGGAUGAGCCCGCGUAGGAUUAGCUAGUUGGUGGGGUAAAGGCCUACCAAGGCGACGAUCCUUAGCUGGUCUGAGAGGAUGAUCAGCCACACUGGGACUGAGACACGGCCCAGACUCCUACGGGAGGCAGCAGUGGGGAAUAUUGGACAAUGGGCGAAAGCCUGAUCCAGCAAUGCCGCGUGAGUGAUGAAGGCCUUAGGGUUGUAAAGCUCUUUUACCCGGGAUGAUAAUGACAGUACCGGGAGAAUAAGCUCCGGCUAACUUCGUG
rnacentral:rRNA from 1 species